ensembl:lncRNA
AAGAAAAAAGAAAACCCCUGCCCAUUUUGUUCUGCAGAGUCAUUCUUCUCGGAUCACAACAUUGCAGAGAAAGGGUGUGGGAUAUUUUGACUCAAAAUGGCAAGUCGCCUUUUAGUAUCAACACUAUCUAUCGAUAUCAAUAUUUUAGUAUCUAUAGCUACUCUCUGGCAACCAUAAAGCAACAACAAGCUCCAGAACAUCAGGGGCUGGGUGAUUUCAGCUAAUAUGCAUGAUUUGUUUAUUAAGAAAGUGAUUUUUUUUUACUUGGUAAACCCAUUUUACUGAUCUACUGUCGUGUUCUAAUUAUAUUUGGGGAAGAUUUAUUUAGUUGUACAUCAAAAUCAGAACAUCUAAGUACCCUGAUACCAGGACACUCUCUGAACUCUUUUGCUAUAAUGUCAGAUGCUCUUUGUAUUGGCAUGCACAAGAUAAUAACGACAUACUCUCACUCAGAAUUUCACCCAUCAACUUGCAUUUUACUUGAAAUCAGACAAAAGUAAAUUGUCUUUAUGUAUUUUAGAGAGAAAUGAAAAUUAUCACUGAAAAUAAAAAACAAGGAGAGGAGAUAGAGAACAGACUGGAAGAGUCACUGAAACGUACGAGACACAGAAGCAUGGAGAAUUUAAAACCAGAUCUCUCUCAUGAUCCAGUCAAACCUGCAGGGUCUCGUUCUCAUGUAUCAGAGACGCUUCAAGAAGUGGUGAGUUUAUAACAGUUAUUAUGAUAUAUCAUCCUGUAGAAUUGGUUCAUUGGUUCAUGUUUGUUUUUUGACUCUGCUCUCUCUUUUAGAAAACACUACACAUUCAUUUUUAUUGCUGAAAUCUUCAGCCACAGUCUCCACAUCUCCGUGACCUUGAAAAAAAGAAGAAUGGAAAUCUUCAAGCAGAUCAGACGAAACAGAGUUUCUUGCCAGAAUGGUUAAUAGUUGAAUUGACCUCUGUUUUCAUGUACGUAAGUGCUUUGAAAGACCCAUCCUGCAUCACCUAAAAUCAUGACUGAACCAUUCAAGACCCUCUGCAGUUUGCUUUCAGAGCAGUGCCUUUUUCUGCAUCAUCUGCACUUCUGGAUGUUAAAUGUUCACCACUUAUGCAAA